AGAGUUUGAUCCUGGCUCAGGAUGAACGCUGGCGGCGUGCUUAACACAUGCAAGUCGAACGGGAAAUAUUUCAUUGAGACUUCGGUGGAUUUGAUCUAUUUCUAGUGGCGGACGGGUGAGUAACGCGUGGGUAACCUGCCUUAUACAGGGGGAUAACAGUCAGAAAUGGCUGCUAAUACCGCAUAAGCGCACAGAGCUGCAUGGCUCAGUGUGAAAAACUCCGGUGGUAUAAGAUGGACCCGCGUUGGAUUAGCUUGUUGGUGGGGUAACGGCCCACCAAGGCGACGAUCCAUAGCCGGCCUGAGAGGGUGAACGGCCACAUUGGGACUGAGACACGGCCCAGACUCCUACGGGAGGCAGCAGUGGGGAAUAUUGCACAAUGGGGGAAACCCUGAUGCAGCGACGCCGCGUGAAGGAAGAAGUAUCUCGGUAUGUAAACUUCUAUCAGCAGGGAAGAAAAUGACGGUACCUGACUAAGAAGCCCCGGCUAACUACGUGCCAGCAGCCGCGGUAAUACGUAGGGGGCAAGCGUUAUCCGGAUUUACUGGGUGUAAAGGGAGCGUAGACGGUGUGGCAAGUCUGAUGUGAAAGGCAUGGGCUCAACCUGUGGACUGCAUUGGAAACUGUCAUACUUGAGUGCCGGAGGGGUAAGCGGAAUUCCUAGUGUAGCGGUGAAAUGCGUAGAUAUUAGGAGGAACACCAGUGGCGAAGGCGGCUUACUGGACGGUAACUGACGUUGAGGCUCGAAAGCGUGGGGAGCAAACAGGAUUAGAUACCCUGGUAGUCCACGCCGUAAACGAUGUCGACUUGGAGGUUGUGCCCUUGAGGCGUGGCUUCCGGAGCUAACGCGUUAAGUCGACCGCCUGGGGAGUACGGCCGCAAGGUUAAAACUCAAAUGAAUUGACGGGGGCCCGCACAAGCGGUGGAGCAUGUGGUUUAAUUCGAUGCAACGCGAAGAACCUUACCUGGUCUUGACAUCCACGGAAGUUUUCAGAGAUGAGAAUGUGCCUUCGGGAACCGUGAGACAGGUGCUGCAUGGCUGUCGUCAGCUCGUGUUGUGAAAUGUUGGGUUAAGUCCCGCAACGAGCGCAACCCUUAUCCUUUGUUGCCAGCGGUCCGGCCGGGAACUCAAAGGAGACUGCCAGUGAUAAACUGGAGGAAGGUGGGGAUGACGUCAAGUCAUCAUGGCCCUUACGACCAGGGCUACACACGUGCUACAAUGGCGCAUACAAAGAGAAGCGACCUCGCGAGAGCAAGCGGACCUCAUAAAGUGCGUCGUAGUCCGGAUUGGAGUCUGCAACUCGACUCCAUGAAGUCGGAAUCGCUAGUAAUCGUGGAUCAGAAUGCCACGGUGAAUACGUUCCCGGGCCUUGUACACACCGCCCGUCACACCAUGGGAGUGGGUUGCAAAAGAAGUAGGUAGCUUAACCUUCGGGAGGGCGCUUACCACUUUGUGAUUCAUGACUGGGGUGAAGUCGUAACAAGGUAACCGUAGGGGAACCUGCGGUUG
rnacentral:rRNA from 1 species